rnacentral:rRNA from 1 species
UACGUAGGUGGCAAGCGUUAUCCGGAAUUAUUGGGCGCAAAGAGUGAGCAGGCGGCAGUUUGAGUCUGAGGUUAAAGCGUGAAGCUCAACUUCAUAAAGCCUUGGAAACUGAACAGCUAGAGUACGAGAGAAGUAAGCGGAAUUCCAUGUGUAGCGGUGAAAUGCGUAGAUAUAUGGAGGAACACCAGUGGCGAGGGCGGCUUACUAGCUCGAAGCUGACGCUCAGUCACGAAAGCGUGGGUAGCAAAUA